rnacentral:lncRNA from 1 species
UCAGCGGGCACGGAAACCUUUAAAACCUAAAAUUUCCAAAAAUGAAUGUUAAUACCCGCGUCUACAAAAGGCCACGUAAAUGGGAUGGGCCGAUGAGUGCAUAUUAGAGGGUUAAUGUCUAUAUCCUUGGCACUCCCCACAUAAAAUUACGCUCAAAACAUACAUGCUCGACAUGCCGUGCCUAUUUUUCCAAUCCUUAGUUCAUAUGAUACAUGUAUUGUUCGCAAGAGGCA